GCCCCAGGCUCUUUGCAUAAUCCUGUGGCUUCGCUGUCUUCACCCAGCACCAGCGGACAGGGAAGGGCAGAGAAGGCCACCAUGGCGACACUCCUCUCCCAUCCGCAGCAGCGCCCUCCCUUCUUGCGCCAGGCCAUCAAGAUAAGGCGCCGCAGAGUCAGAGAUCUACAGGAUCCCCCGCCCCAAAUGGCCCCGGAGAUCCAGCCUCCAUCCCACCACUUCUCCCCCGAGCAGCGGGCCCUGCUCUACGAGGACGCACUCUACACUGUCUUGCACCGCCUGGGUCAGCCUGAGCCCAACCAUGUGACGGAGGCCUCUGAGCUGCUGCGAUACCUGCAGGAGGCCUUCCACGUGGAGCCCAAGGAGCACCAGCAGACACUGCAGCGGGUCAGGGAGCUUGAGAAGCCAAUAUUUUGUCUGAAGGCAACAGUGAAACAGGCCAAGGGCAUUCUGGGCAAAGAUGUCAGUGGGUUCAGCGACCCCUACUGCCUGCUGGGCAUUGAGCAGGGGGUAGGUGUGCCGGGGGGCAGCCCCGGGUCCCGGCAGCGGCAGAAGGCUGUGGUGAGGCACACCAUACCCGAGGAGGAGACCCACCGCACGCAGGUCAUCACCCAGACACUCAACCCCGUCUGGGACGAGACCUUCAUCCUGGAGUUUGAGGACAUCACCAAUGCGAGCUUUCAUCUGGACAUGUGGGACCUGGACACUGUGGAGUCUGUCCGACAGAAGCUUGGGGAGCUCACGGAUCUGCAUGGGCUUCGCAGGAUCUUUAAAGAGGCCCGGAAGGACAAAGGCCAGGACGACUUUCUGGGGAACGUGGUUCUGAGGCUGCAGGACCUGCGCUGCCGAGAGGACCAGUGGUACCCCCUGGAACCCCGCACUGAGACCUACCCAGACCGAGGCCAGUGCCACCUCCAGUUCCAACUCAUCCAUAAGCGGGUAGGUCGGGUACUGGGCCAGUGGCCGUGCCCAGCUCUUGCGGUGGUCUGCUGGGUUGCGGGGCUGGCUGCACCCAGUGUGAGGCCCUGUCUGCUCACAGAGGCCUCAUUGCAGAGAGCCACUUCGGCCAGCCGCUCGCAGCCCAGCUACACCGUGCACCUCCACCUCCUGCAGCAGCUUGUGUCCCACGAGGUCACCCAGCACGAGGUAUUGCCCUCCUGGGGCUGGGCGCAGCCGGGGCUGCCCUUCAGGUCCUGACACUCCUCCACCUGCUCCCCUCAGGCGGGAAGCACCUCCUGGGACGGGUCGCUGAGUCCCCAGGCUGCCACCGUCCUCUUUCUGCACGCCACACAGAAGGACCUGUCCGACUUCCACCAGUCCAUGGCGCAGUGGCUGGCCUACAGCCGCCUCUACCAGAGCCUGGAGUUCCCCAGCAGCUGCCUCCUGCACCCCAUCACCAGCAUCGAGUACCAGUGGAUCCAGGGUCGGCUCAAGGCAGAACAGCAGGAGGAGCUGGCCGCCUCAUUCAGCUCCCUGCUGACCUACGGCCUCUCCCUCAUCCGGAGGUUCCGCUCUGUCUUCCCCCUCUCUGUCUCGGACUCCCCAGCCCGGCUGCAGUCUCUUCUCAGGGUCCUGGUACAGAUGUGCAAGAUGAAGGCCUUUGGAGAACUGUGCCCCAACACCGCCCCAUUGCCCCAGCUGGUGACUGAGGCCCUGCAGACUGGCACCACUGAAUGGUUCCACCUGAAGCAGCAGCACCAUCAACCCAUGGUGCAGGGCAUCCCGGAGGCAGGCAAGGCCUUGCUGGGCCUGGUACAGGAUGUCAUUGGCGACCUGCACCAGUGCCAGCGCACAUGGGACAAGAUCUUCCACAAUACCCUCAAGAUCCACCUCUUCUCCAUGGCUUUCCGGGAGCUGCAGUGGCUAGUGAGUCCCUCCACCGUCUCUAGGGCAUGCCCUCCGACAAAGCUGUGGGCCCCGCCCUCCACACCUUUCCUUUGCAGGUGGCCAAGCGGGUGCAGGACCACACGACGGCUGUGGGUGAUGCAGUGUCCCCAGAGAUGGGCGAGAGUCUGUUCCAGCUCUACAUCAGCCUCAAGGAGCUCUACCAGCUGCGCAUGAGCUCCUCAGAGAGGGAUGGAGUUCUGGCCCUGGAUAAUUUCCACCGCUGGUUCCAGCCGGCCAUCCCCUCCUGGCUGCAGAAGACGUACAACGAGGCCCUGGCGCGGGUGCAGCGCGCUGUGCAGAUGGAUGAGCUGGUGCCCCUGGGUGAACUGACCAAGCACAGCACAUCAGCGGUGGAUCUAUCCACCUGCUUUGCCCAGAUCAGCCACACUGCCCGGCAGCUGGACUGGCCAGACCCAGAGGAGGCCUUCAUGAUUACCGUCAAGUUUGUGGAGGACACCUGUCGCCUGGCCCUGGUGUACUGCAGCCUUAUAAAGGCCCGGGCCCGCGAGCUCUCUUCAGGCCAGAAGGACCAAGGCCAGGCAGCCAACAUGCUGUGUGUGGUGGUGAAUGACAUGGAGCAGCUGCGGCUGGUGAUCGGCAAGUUGCCUGCCCAGCUGGCAUGGGAGGCCCUGGAGCAGCGGGUAGGGGCCGUGCUGGAGCAGGGGCAGCUGCAGAACACGCUGCAUGCCCAGCUGCAGAGUGCGCUGGCCGGGCUGGGCCAUGAGAUCCGCACUGGCGUCCGCACCCUGGCCGAGCAGUUGGAGGUGGGCAUCGCCAAGCACAUCCAGAAACUGGUGGGCGUCAGGGAGUCCGUCCUGCCUGAGGAUGCCAUUCUGCCCCUGAUGAAGUUCCUGGAGGUGGAGCUUUGCUACAUGAACACCAACUUGGUGCAGGAGAACUUCAGCAGGUCUGUAGCAGCCCCUGCCCUGGGCGCGCUCGCCACCUCACCUUCUCCUCCCACGGCCCCUCCUUCCUGGGCCCCAGCAUCCGUUCUGAGGGGUGUAGCAGCCCCUGCCCUGGGCGCGCUCGCCACCUCCCCCUCUCCUCCCACGGCCCCUCUUUCCUGGGCCUCAGCAUCCGUUCUGAGGAGUGGAGGUGAAUCCCUUUGGUGACCUCCCUUAUGGGGUGCAACAGGCUCUGCUAAGGCUCGCUGCAGGGACGGGGAGCUUGCCACUUCUCAGGCCUCCCCAUUUCCUGCUGCCUAGCUCUGAGUGCUUUGAGUUCUUCCUUAGGCUGAGCCAAAAUCUACCUGUCCUUUCUCCUUUAGUCCCAGGCCUGUCUUCAGGGCCUCCCUGACUGCUCCUCUGCCCCCAUUAGGUUACAGGUGGUCCCUGCCCACGGUGCAGGGAGAACUUCUAGCUAGGGUGUCUUAUAGCAGGGACCCAGCAUGCCAGGCAACAGGCGGUGGAGUCCAGCACAUGGGCUCUGGACCACCUGGGUUCAGACUCCGGCUUCAUCACUGCUUAGCAGCCUUGGGCAAGUUCCUGGUGCAGAUGAAAGUAGUUCUGGCUUCUGUUGAGGAUUAAAUGGGUCAUGUGAGGUGCUGAGCGUGGUGUCGGUACAAAGGAAGUGGUCAGUGACUAUUAGCGGUAGUGACGAUGACGAUGACAGCACCCCACCUCCCUGUGGAAUCUGGGCCCUGAAGAGGCCGCAGCCCUCCUAGAGUUCUGUUCCACCCCCAGAGGUAUAAGCCAGGGCCCCUUGGAGCCCGGCUGUUUUUAUUUCUUAAACCAUGUAUAUAUAUUUUUUAUUUUUUUGAGACGGAGUCUCGCUCUGUCGCCCAGGCUGGAGUGCAGUGGCACGAUCUCAGCUCACUGCAACCUCCGACUCCGGGUUCAAGUGAUUCCCUGCCUCAGCCUGCUGAGUAGCUGGGACUACAGGUGCAUGCCAUUAUGUCUGGCUAAUUGUUUUUUUGAGAUGGAGUCUUGCUCUGUUGCCAGGCCAGAAUGCAGUGGUGCAAUCUUGGCUUACUGCAACCUCCGCCUCCUGGGUUCAAGCGAUUCUCCUGCCUCAGCCUCCCAAGUAGCUGGGACUACAGGCACGCGCCACAAUGCCUGGCUAAUUUUUGUAUUUUUAGUAGAGACGGGGUUUCACCAUGUUGGCCAGGAUGGUCUCAAUCUCUUGACCUCCUGAUCCACCCACCUCGACCUCCCAAAGUGCUGGGAUUACAGGCAUGAGCCACCGCGCCCGGCCUGGUUCUGUCUUAAAUCAUGGUUGUCACUGGGGGCCUGACCUCCUCCGUCUCCAGCCUUGUUUGUGGGUUCCGUUAGUCUGCUGGGGAGGAUUCUUCACUGAGGUUGAGAGGUGUGUUGGAUAGGACUGACCCCACCUGCCCCUUGCUGGUCCUGUACCCACCCUCUCCCCAGCCUCACCUGGGGUGGGAGGAGCUGGGGUGGGGCUGGGUCACUGAGGCCUCCCCUUUCUCAAGAGCAUCUUUGCUUCCUCCUCCGCCACCGCCCUGCCGUGCUGUGUCCGCAUCCCUCCGGCCCCCGCGCCAGCCUCCUGACCCUGCUCUGGACCCACACGCUCACAGUGCUGGUGGAGGC
rnacentral:sRNA from 1 species